AAACUCGCGUCCAUCUGAACCAUCUAUAAUGAAGAGGAUCGAUCAGCAGGAAAGAUCUUCGGAGUUCCUCAGCAGCACACUUGUGUUCUCCACCAACGACGGAAAAGAAGAAUGAAGCAAUCCCACCUGUUGGUCUUAUUGCUGUUCUGGGCCACUUUGUCGACGCUUCAGGCAGGCCUUCCAGCGACGAAGCGCCACCGCGUACGAGGUCGCUACGACUACGUCUAUGAUUGCGCAACGUGUGACGACGAUCCUUCAGCAGGUGACAGCACCGUGUAUGCGUACACAUGACAAGUUUUCCUGGCAAUAAAUGUCUUCUGAGCUCUG